UACGGAGGAGGCGAGCGUUGUUCGGAAUUACUGGGCUUAAAGCGCGUGUAGGCGGACCGGAAAGUGCCUUGUGAAAUCCCUCGGCUCAACCGGGGAACUGCUGGGCAUACUAUCGGUCUUGAGGCAGGUAGGGGCGUGUGGAACUCUCGGUGGAGCGGUGAAAUGCGUAGAUAUCUAGAGGAACGCCGGUGGCGAAAGCGACACGCUGGGCCUGAUCUGACGCUGAGACGAGAAAGCGUAGGGAGCAAACAGG
rnacentral:rRNA from 1 species